AUGGCGACGCUCUCCGUCCCCGCCGCCGUCCCGGCCGUCGCCGAGGACUGCGAGCAGCUGCGCAAGGCGUUCGCGGGGUGGGGCACCAACGAGCGCCUCAUCGUCUCCAUCCUGGCGCACCGCGACGCCGCGCAGCGCCGCGCCAUCCGCCGCGCCUACGCCGAGGCCUACGGCGAGGAGCUGCUCCGCGCCAUCGGCGACGAGAUCCACGGCAAGUUCGAGAGGGCGGUGGCCCAGUGGACGCUGGACCCGGCGGAGCGGGACGCAGAGCUGGCCGGCGAGGAGGCCAAGAAGUGGCAGCCGGGGGGCCGCGCGCUCGUGGAGAUCGCCUGCGCGCGCACCCCCGCGCAGCUCUUCGCCGCCAGGCAGGCCUACCACGACCGCUUCAAGCGCUCGCUCGAGGAGGACGUCGCCGCGCACGUCACCGGCGAAUUCCGCAAGCUUUUGGUGCCUCUUGUAAGCGCAUACCGCUACGAUGGCCCGGAGGUGAACACAUCGUUGGCACACUCUGAAGCCAAAAUACUCAAUGGAAAGAUCAACGAGAAGGCCUACAGUGAUGAUGAGAUCAUCAGGAUUCUCACUACAAGGAGCAAAGCUCAGCUACUUGCAACAUUCAACAGCUACAAUGAUCAGUUCAGUCACCCCAUCACUAAGGACCUCAAGGAAGACCCCAAGAACGAGUUCCUCUCAACCCUGAGGGCGAUCAUAAGGUGUUUCACUUGCCCUGACAGAUACUUUGAGAAGAUCAUCCGGUUGGCCCUUGGAGGCGUCGGCACAGACGAGAACACCCUUACGAGGGUCAUAACCACUCGCGCCGAGGUGGACCUGAAGGUGAUAAAGGAGGCGUACCAGAAGAGGAACAGCGUCCCGCUGGACAAGGCUGUUUCUAAGGAAACAAGCAGAGACUACGAGGACAUGAUGCUUGCACUUCUGGGGGCAGAGUACUGA
rnacentral:rRNA from 1 species